rnacentral:snRNA from 1 species
AGCUUUGCACAGGGACAAUAUCACAGACAAUGAAGUUUAUCUGGGGUAUGAUUAUUGCUAAUUGAAAU